rnacentral:rRNA from 1 species
AAAUCUGGUUGAUCCUGCCAGAGGCGACCGCUAUUGGAGUUCGAUUAAGCCAUGCGAGUAGAAAGAAAUUAGAUUCUUUGCAUACUGCUCAGUAACAC